rnacentral:sRNA from 1 species
AUGCAGACCUGCACCGCUUGCCCGGCGGCAAACCCGGCUUCUUCCAGCCAGUUCCCCUUCAAAUGCAAACUGGGGUGCUGGCUGUAAUGGCGGGUCAUGCCGGUGUGUCUGUCGGCGUGACGGGUACUG